rnacentral:lncRNA from 1 species
UUUCUUUCUCUUGAUCAAGCUUGUCGACCCUAAAAAUGGCAUGAUCUAACCAUAAAACAUCAUAUAUCAUGUAGAUCUAUAGUUCUCAUGUUCAGGAUCAUAAACUUCAUGGUUCAAAAUAACCAAAAAUCAAAUACAAGAUUAAACACAUUCAAGAGUAAGAAAAAUAAGAUUUCCUACACCUUAAAAACCUAGCUUCACUUUUCUUGCUUUUGAUCUAUCUUUUGAAACAUAAAAUAGAUAGAUCCACACAUAAAACACUCUAAAUCAUGUAGAUCUAGAGUUUUGAAGAUCAAAACUCAUUAUUUUGACAAAAAUCAAACACAUAAACUAAUUAGAGUUUUGUGUUUAAGAAUUCUUAUACCUUGCUUUGAUUUUCUUUCUUCUUCAAAGAUAUGAGAUGGAUCUUGGGGUGUUGUUCUUGGCUUGCUACAUGAUUAUCAUAGCUCAUCUUCUCUCUCUCUUGUCUCUCUCUCUCUCUCUAAACUUAUCCAAUUUGGCUAAAAUGAAUAUAAGUAAAUUUUGAUUUUGCUUAUGUAGAAGUUACUUUCAAUUUUUUAUAAGUUAGUCACCCAACUUAAAUCUUCUCUAGUCUUCCCCCUAGUCUUUAAAAGCUUGCAAAUCACCCCUUGG